GUCCAGACGUGUGCUUUUCGAUCUGUCCGCAACACAACAAGCAAACAACUUUUAAAAUGCUUGUUUUCUGAACGGAGUUCGGAUUGAUCAAUGCCAGGCUAUACUAACAUUGUAGCUACACCAUCAUCACUCAACAUAACGUCAUCUAGGCAUAAAUACGUCAGCGACGUUGUUGUAAACGGAUCAAAGGUGAAGCCAAAAUAACUACAUAAUGAUGCUGAUUAGUAAAAAGUCUGAAUUCAUGC